rnacentral:rRNA from 1 species
AAUGGGGGCAACCCUGAUCCAGCCAUUCCGCGUGAGUGAAGAAGGCCUUCGGGUUGUAAAGCUCUUUUGUCCGGAGCGAAACGGUACGGGUGAAUAUCCCGUGCUACUGACGGUACCGGAAGAAUAAGCACCGGCUAACUACGUGCCAGCAGCCGCGGUAAUACGUAGGGUGCGAGCGUUAAUCGGAAUUACUGGGCGUAAAGCGUGCGCAGGCGGUUGUGUAAGCCAGAUGUGAAAUCCCCGGGCUUAACCUGGGAAUGGCAUUUGGGACUGCACGGCUUGAGUGUGGCAGAGGGGACUAGAAUUCCUGGUGUAGCAGUGAAAUGCGUAGAUAUCAGGAGGAAUACCGAUGGCGAAGGCAGGUCCCUGGGUUAACACUGACGCUCAUGCACGAAAGCGUGGGGAGCAAA